UCCCAUGGAGGGGGACAUGGCAACCCACUCGAGUAUUCUUACCUGGAGAAUCCCAUGGACAGAGGAGCCUGGGCUUGCCAAGAGUUAGACUUGACUGAGAGCUGACCCCAUAGAGUUAACACGAUCAAGAGUAACAACAGAACCAAUAGAAAAAAUUCACUCUGCCAAGACGCAACGCUGUCCUCUGCUCGCCAAGCCACAGGGUUUGUUCCCCCGGCCUUUGCGGAUCUCUGGGAAGCGGUCGCUUAAGUGUGGUACUCCCGCCCGGCUCGGGGAUCCACGCUGUCUUCCAGGAAUUCACACAAUAAACAGGUUUUGGAGAAACGCCAGCUCAUUACUCAGAUUUCCUUUUCAGAAUUCAGGUCACUUUCUACCCCCAGACCUUUCUGUCAUCAGUUACUGAAUUUCAGCUUUGGCUUUCUCCAUGGGACACAGAACAAACAAUUGGGUAAUUGGGUCACCUUCUGACUUAUAUCACUUCUCGUCCCAUUAUCUGAGGUGAUCCGCUUGACUUUCGCAGUAGACGAGAUUGGUGCCCUCAGGAAACCUGAGAAACCUUCCCGAAGAUCUGAUCCCGGGGAAGAGGUUAAGUCUUCAAUGAGGAAAACAACGAAAUAGGAUCCAAUGGCAGGCAGAUUUAUUUAUUUGUUUAUUUCUGCCUGCUUUCUUCUGGGCCUUUGUUGCUGCCCACAGACUUCCUCCAGUUGCCAUAAGCAGGAGUCACUCUUCAUUGCGGCACAGGCCUUCAUCGCGGUGGCUUCUCUUGCUGCGGUGUGGGUUCUAGGCAUGUGGCCUUCAGCGGUUGCUGCAGGCGGGCUCAAUAUUUGUGGCGCAGCUUUUUGAUGUGUUUUCUGGCCUCCUUGUCUCUCACGUGCCUGCACUCACCCCACUUUCUCUCCCUGGAGGCGAUGUGUCCUGGCACGGAGUCAUUCCCGCCAGCCUCCCGAGUCCAGUUUGGAAGCCUUCCCGCGGGCUUCCAGAGGGAAGGCCUUUGGGAAAGAAUAGUGUGAGAGCAACAUGGGAGUGAUGAUGAGAAGUCAGCCCCUGGGGGCCAGCCUGGAGAGUGCUCCUGACCAGAAGAGCCGGUGCAAAGUUCGGAGCUGCGGAAGCGCUUGGUGAUUCCCGGAGAGCGGAAGAAAUCAAGGAGAGGAGCCUGGAGAGAAGCAGGAAGGCAGCUGAUGAGCUGGCUGUGCCUCUGGACAUAAGCAGGACCCCGUGUCCCUGUAAGUCAGAUCAGCUUAUGGAAUUUCUGAGGGAAAAUAAUCUCCAGCAUUUUAUGGAAUGUGACUGGCUGGUGAGGUCUAAUGAAAGAGGAAAUUUGAAAAAUAAAGUAUAGGAAUUUCUUAGUUCUAUUUUGUUGCCUAUGGGAAUUAAAAACUGAAUCAAGAAUGGUAACAAUCCUCUUUAAAUCUGAGGACUCAAAAUUCUGGAGAGUUCUUAUGUCUGGAUGUCUUACUAAAGCUGCUGCUGCUAAGUCACUUUAGUCGUGUCCGACCCUGUGCGACCCCAUAGGCGGCAGCCCAUCAGGCUCCCCU